CCUGAAUACCCGGCUGGGCACACGCGAGGCCGAAAUCGUGGUUUCUGGGUGUCGGGUGGUCCUGGGGUUCGGCAGGAUUCCGGAGAACGACUGUCACCAAGUCGUGUACUUGUCGCACGCGGACUGGACAUAUGCCAGCGGAAGACUUGAGCUCUGAGCACAAAAUCGGUGGGGCUGGGGAUGUUCUCGAUCUUGGUCCCCAGGAUCUGAUUGAAGACCCCUGACUUAGCGUAAGUAUGGAACCGAAGGGGCCGAGCUGCUCUGGGGGCUGGAGGCCGGCGUCCUGGCUUGGGCCUGAGGGCUUCUCCAUCCCUUGCCCUCAAUGCUCU
rnacentral:lncRNA from 1 species